CCGCUAGCUAGAGGCAGGCGUAUGUGUCGCAUACUCUGUUAGAAGUUUGCUCUCGUCGAAAAGGACUUGAAUAAUUACAAAGAUUUAAGGACUGUUUUUCUUUCUCACAGCAUGCAGCCAACAAGUUCCUCCAAUCGCUGAAGCUCUGCUUGUAGCUAUAACAGUGAGAAAGACAGCGUGAGGGAUGCUUAUAAUUCCAGCAGAAGCUCAAGAUGAAACAUGACCUAGUUUAGUGACAGGAACCUGCAACAUCUCCCACAGCUCCUCAAUUUGACCACGGAUGGACACACGCCACGCUUUACUUACCUGUGUUAUGUGCCCAUGGCUCAACUGAGUUCACCAGUCAAUCCUGAGAGAUCACCAUGGAGGUUACCGUGUGAUGGUCUGGAGAUUGGCAGGGCAGGCCAGGGAAAUAUCUUGCGGACUGUGACAAUCACCACGGCUAUAUGAAGUUACAAAAUACCAAUACAAAGAGUGGUUGACCCAGUUCCUGUGACACACCUGUAUGUUUGUGAGAAUCUCUCCUACUGCUUCCUUCAGCUGCGGCUCACGGGUGAGUAAGAACAAGAAUCCUCCUCCUCCCGCUCCUGCCAGACUCUGUCCUA